UACAGAGGUCCCGAGUGUUGUUCGGAUUCACUGGGCGUAAAGGGUGCGUAGGUGGUUAGGUAAGUCCGAUGUGAAAUCUCCAGGCUCAACCUGGAAAUGGCAUUGGAUACUAUUUAGCUUGAGGAGUGGAGGGGGGACUGGAAUUCUCGGUGUAGCAGUGAAAUGCGUAGAUAUCGAGAGGAACACCAGUGGCGAAGGCGAGUCCCUGGACACUUCCUGACACUGAGGCACGAAAGCUAGGGGAGCAAACAGG
rnacentral:rRNA from 1 species